UCUCGUAAAAUUAAUUUGUUAGAUAUCUGCUCCGGCCGACUAUGAUUUUCUUUAUAACUUCCUACCAAAAACAUUAAAAGACAUGAAGAAAAGAAUAAGUGGUUGAUGUUUUAGUUGACUUUAUAUACUUAAAACAGUGGUUGAAUCAUUUGUGAAUAUUGAGGAAGUUUGAAUUUUGUCUCCAUGGCCUCCAUCAAAACGAGAAGUGCUUCCAUCAUCUUCAUCUUUAUUUGUGCUAUCUUCAUAAUGCAAAUGGUUUUGAUCGCUGCAGAUCAAGGGGGGUCGUUCAGAACCGAACGAUAUGAUCCAAGAGCACCACCAACACCACAAGGAAACCCACGUCAUGGCAUGAAUCCACCUGACUCCCCGCCACCAAUUUAUACUUAAGUUUGUGUUUAUAUUGAUCGACAAUUACCUUGUUAAUUAAGCUUGUGUAUUGUUUGUUUUAAAGAAAAAAAAACAUCGACAUGGUUGUUGGCUAUGUAACAUUUUAUAGCAUGUAAUGUGAUUGUGAAUUAUGCAGCUCGAUAGUUUUAUUA